rnacentral:tRNA from 1 species
GCGGGUAUGGCGAAAUUGGCAGACGCGCCAGACUUAGGAUCUGGUUCCCUACGGAGUGCAGGUUCAAGUCCUGUUACCCGCACCA